CAACACAGGUAAUAGAGCGAAGCCUUAGGCUGAUAAACUGAUUGAAGGCAGACCAAGAGCAUUACCUACGAGGAUUUAUUAGGAUGGCUCAAAGACUGAUUCGGUCUUUUCCUCAAAGGCGGAUACGAUUGAAUUCGCUUUGGACUACGAGAGAGCUAGACAGCGGGGAUGAAAGGUUUGCGAGGAAGAAUCAAUGGCCAAUGGUUCUACAACUGCAACAGCACUUACUGAAAAGACUAUUCUACGACCAGCCGCCUACUUAAUUACACUUCCGGCAUUAAGCAAGUUCCUUCUUCUGCGAAUAUGAGAUAGACCGACAGCCGGUACGGGACUAAGGGACUGUGGGAAUCGCGAAAGACCGGAUUCAAAGAUAUAGGCCAAUCAAAAGGAAGAUGGUGAAAGACCACCACAAAGAGACCCUCGCUCACGCCUUAGUCUUAUUCGAAAACAAAAGCGGAUGGGCCUUCCUCAAGAAAAAACCAGAGACAGAUCCUUUACUUACUGGAAGGGCGAGACCAAUCACUAAUCACUA
rnacentral:lncRNA from 1 species